rnacentral:rRNA from 1 species
GACGAACGCUGGCGGCGUGCUUAACACAUGCAAGUCGAACGGAAAGGCCCUGCUUUUGUGGGGUGCUCGAGUGGCGAACGGGUGAGUAACACGUGAGUAACCUGCCCUUGACUUUGGGAUAACUUCAGGAAACUGGGGCUAAUACCGGAUAGGAGCUCCUGCUGCAUGGUGGGGGUUGGAAAGUUUCGGCGGUUGGGGAUGGACUCGCGGCUUAUCAGCUUGUUGGUGGGGUAGUGGCUUACCAAGGCUUUGACGGGUAGCCGGCCUGAGAGGGUGACCGGCCACAUUGGGACUGAGAUACGGCCCAGACUCCUACGGGAGGCAGCAGUGGGGAAUAUUGCACAAUGGGCGGAAGCCUGAUGCAGCAACGCCGCGUGCGGGAUGGCGGCCUUCGGGUUGUAAACCGCUUUCGCCUGUGACGAAGCGUGAGUGACGGUAAUGGGUAAAGAAGCACCGGCUAACUACGUGCCAGCAGCCGCGGUGAUACGUAGGGUGCGAGCGUUGUCCGGAUUUAUUGGGCGUAAAGGGCUCGUAGGUGGUUGAUCGCGUCGGAAGUGUAAUCUUGGGGCUUAACCCUGAGCGUGCUUUCGAUACGGGUUGACUUGAGGAAGGUAGGGGAGAAUGGAAUUCCUGGUGGAGCGGUGGAAUGCGCAGAUAUCAGGAGGAACACCAGUGGCGAAGGCGGUUCUCUGGGCCUUUCCUGACGCUGAGGAGCGAAGGCGUGGGGAGCGAACAGGCUUAGAUACCCUGGUAGUCCACGCUGUAAACGGUGGGUACUAGGUGUGGGGUCCAUUCCACGGGUUCCGUGCCGUAGCUAACGCUUUAAGUACCCCGCCUGGGGAGUACGGCCGCAAGGCUAAAACUCAAAGGAAUUGACGGGGCCCCGCACAAGCGGCGGAGCAUGCGGAUUAAUUCGAUGCAACGCGUAGAACCUUACCUGGGUUUGACAUGGAUCGGGAGUGCUCAGAGAUGGGUGUGCCUCUUUUGGGGUCGGUUCACAGGUGGUGCAUGCCUGUCGUCAGCUCGUGUCGUGAGAUGUUGGGUUAAGUCCCGCAACGAGCGCAACCCUUGUUCACUGUUGCCAGCACGUUAUGGUGGGGACUCAGUGGAGACCGCCGGGGUCAACUCGGAGGAAGGUGGGGAUGACGUCAAGUCAUCAUGCCCCUUAUGUCCAGGGCUUCACGCAUGCUACAAUGGCUGGUACAGAGAGUGGCGAGCCUGUGAGGGUGAGCGAAUCUCGGAAAGCCGGUCUCAGUUCGGAUUGGGGUCUGCAACUCGACCUCAUGAAGUCGGAGUCGCUAGUAAUCGCAGAUCAGCAACGCUGCGGUGAAUACGUUCCCGGGGCU